AACUGAUACUACCUGCGGGAACCUGCGGAGGGAUCAUUACAGGACUCGCAAGACUCCUACAACCCUGUGAACCUACUAUACGAACGUUGCUUCGGCGGGUGCGCCCCGGGGAUUCGUUCCCGCGGCGCGUCAGCCCGCCGGCAGCCUACAAAUUCUGUUUCUUUGCGUUGGCAUCUCGAGAAAAACAAAUAAGUUAAAACUUUCAACAAUGGAUCUCU
rnacentral:misc_RNA from 1 species